rnacentral:rRNA from 1 species
AUUGAACGCUGGCGGCAUGAUUUACACAUGCAAGUCGAACGGUAACAGGCCGCAAGGUGCUGACGAGUGGCGAACGGGUGAGUAAUGCAUCGGAACGUGCCCAGUCGCGGGGGAUAACUACUCGAAAGAGUAGCUAAUACCGCAUACGAUCUAUGGAUGAAAGCGGGGGACCGUAAGGCCUCGCGCGAUUGGAGCGGCCGAUGUCAGAUUAGGUAGUUGGUGGGGUAAAGGCUCACCAAGCCAACGAUCUGUAGCUGGUCUGAGAGGACGACCAGCCACACUGGGACUGAGACACGGCCCAGACUCCUACGGGAGGCAGCAGUGGGGAAUUUUGGACAAUGGGCGCAAGCCUGAUCCAGCAAUGCCGCGUGCAGGAAGAAGGCCUUCGGGUUGUAAACUGCUUUUGUACGGAACGAAACGGCUCUGGUUAAUACCCGGGGCUAAUGACGGUACCGUAAGAAUAAGCACCGGCUAACUACGUG